AGUGAACGCUGGCGGUAGGCCUAACACAUGCAAGUCGAACGGCAGCACAGGAGAGCUUGCUCUCUGGGUGGCGAGUGGCGGACGGGUGAGGAAUACAUCGGAAUCUACUUUUUCGUGGGGGAUAACGUAGGGAAACUUACGCUAAUACCGCAUACGACCUACGGGUGAAAGCAGGGGACCUUCGGGCCUUGCGCGAUUGGAUGAGCCGAUGUCGGAUUAGCUAGUUGGCGGGGUAAAGGCCCACCAAGGCGACGAUCCGUAGCUGGUCUGAGAGGAUGAUCAGCCACACUGGAACUGAGACACGGUCCAGACUCCUACGGGAGGCAGCAGUGGGGAAUAUUGGACAAGGGGCGCAAGCCUGAUCCAGCCAUACCGCGUGGGUGAGGAAGGCCUUCGGGUUGUAAAGCCCUUUUGUUGGGAAAGAAAUCCAGCUGGCUAAUACCCGGUUGGGAUGACGGUACCCAAAGAAUAAGCACCGGCUAACUUCGUGCCAGCCGCCGCCGUAA
rnacentral:rRNA from 1 species